UCAAAUCAAAAGGGCCUCCUCCACCUUCUUCUACUCUGCUGGUCUACUCUGUCUCUGCCUCUGUGUAUCUGCAUAUCCUCUCAUUUUUAUCUGUUAAUCCUGUCAUGUCUAACAUGAAGAUUCUCUCAAGGGUCCAAGUUCUGAAGUUUCGGUUUGUUCUCCAAUCUGGGAAAAUUGACCCUUUAUCCAAGAGGUUCUUAUGCUCAUCAUCAUCUUCGUCUUCAUCUUCAAAUGGGUCUCAUUUUUCUCCUUCUUCUGAGAAAAAAGUUAACCCAUUUAUCGAUACCCACCAUGACAAUGCAACAAAAUCUGAGAGUGCGAGGAAGACUGUGCUUGAUAUAUGCCGGGUUUUGGAAACUGGUCCUUGGGGACCUUCCAUCGAGGAUGCUCUCAACUUGUUUGAUGAAAUGCCUCAACCGGAAUUCGUUGUUGGAGUGAUGAGGAGGUUGAAGGAUGUGAAUGUGGCAUUGCAGUAUUUUAGAUGGGUGGAGGGUAAAGCUGAACAAGUGCAUUGCCCAGAAGUUUACAAUGCUCUUCUCAUGGUUAUGGCUAGGACUAGAAACUUGGAUUACUUGGAACAGAUUCUUGAAGAAAUGAGUCUGGCUGGAUUUGGACCCUCUAGUACUACUUGUAUUGAGCUGGUUACGAGUUUUGUCAAGUCGCGGAAGCUAAGAGAAGCUUUUGGAGUCAUUGAAACGAUGAGGAAGUUCAAGUUUCGCCCUGCUUUUUCAGCUUACACCACACUGAUUGGUGCCCUCUCUGCAUCUAAUGAAGCUGAUCUCAUGCUCAAUCUCUUUCAUCAAAUGCAGGAAAUGGGUUAUGAAGUGAGCAUACAUUUGUUUACCACGCUUGUUCGCUCAAUUGCCAGGCUGGGCCGCAUGGAUGCUGCUCUUUCCUUGCUGGAUGAGAUGAAGAGUAACUCAUUUAGUGCAGAUCUUGUCCUUUACAAUGUAUGCAUAGACUGUUUUGGUAAAGUUGGUAAGGUGGAUAUGGCUUGGAAAUUCUUUCAUGAGAUGAAAGCACAAGGGUUGGUGCCUGAUGAUGUGACAUAUACUAGCAUGAUAGGAGUUCUUUGCAAGGCUGAGAGGGUAGAUGAAGCUGUUGAGCUGUUUGAAGAACUGGAUCUCAACAGGAGUGUCCCUUGUGUUUAUGCUUAUAAUACCAUGAUUAUGGGUUAUGGUUCAGUUGGGAAAUUUGAUGAAGCAUACAACUUACUUGAGAGACAAAAGAGAAAGGGAUGUAUACCUAGUGUGAUAGCAUAUAACUGCAUUCUGACUUGCCUAAGAAGGAAGGGCAAUGUAGAGGAAGCGUUGAGGAUAUUUGAAGAAAUGAAAAAAGAUGCAGCACCCAAUCUUACAACCUACAAUAUUUUAAUUGACAUGCUUUGUAAUGCAGGAAAUCUCGAAGCUGCUUUGAAAGUUCAAAACACCAUGAAAGAGGCUGGCUUAUUCCCUAAUAUUGUGACUGUAAAUAUAAUGAUUGAUCGGCUAUGUAAAGCUCAAAGACUUGAUGAAGCUUGCUCCAUAUUUUUGGAAUUGGAUCAUGAAGUUUGUACCCCUGAUGCAGUAACAUUUUGCUCACUUAUUAAUGGCUUGGGAAGACAUGGCAGGGUAAAUGAUGCCUAUAAGCUUUAUGAAAAGAUGUUAGAUUCCGAUCAGCCUCCGAAUGUAGUAGUAUACACUUCACUUAUUAGGACUUUUUUCAAGUGUGGUAGGAAGGAGGAUGGUCACAAAAUUUUCAGGGAGAUGGUGGAUAGGGGUUGUUCUCCUGAUCUUAUGCUCCUUAAUACUUACAUGGAUUGUGUUUUCAAAGGUGGUGAAAUUGAGAAAGGGAGGGCUUUAUUUGAAGAAAUAAAAGCUCGGGGGUUAGUUCCUGAUGCUUGGAGCUACUCAAUUUUAAUUCAUGGACUUGUGAAAGCAGGAUGUUCAAAAGAAACAUAUAAGUUAUUUUAUGAGAUGAAGGAACAAGGAUUGCAUUUGGACACGCGUGCAUACAACGCUGUAAUUGAUGGAUUCUGCAAGUCUGGUAAGGUCAACAAAGCCUACCAACUGUUGGAGGAAAUGAAAACAAAGGGUCUUCAACCUACUGUUGUAACUUAUGGUUCUGUCAUUGAUGGACUCGCUAAAAUCGACAGGCUCGAUGAAGCAUACAUGUUAUUUGAAGAAGCAAAAUCAAUUGGUGUUGAUUUGAAUUUAGUUAUCUACAGCAGUCUCAUUGAUGGGUUUGGGAAGGUGGGAAGAAUUGACGAAGCAUAUUUGAUAAUGGAGGAGUUGAUGCAGAAAGGUCUGACUCCAAACACAUACACAUGGAGUUGCUUACUUGACGCGUUGGUGAAAGCAGAGGAAAUCGAUGAAGCUCUUGUCUGCUUUCAAAACAUGAAAAACUUGAAAUGUUCUCCGAAUGAUGUUACUUAUGCCAUUAUGAUAAAUGGCCUUUGCAAGAUUAGAAAGUUUAACAAGGCCUUUGUGUUCUGGCAAGAGAUGCAGAAACAAGGGUUAAAACCCAACCCUAUCACAUACACCACCAUGAUUUCAGGAUUGGCAAAGGCUGGAAAUGUUAGAGAGGCAAGAGAUCUAUUUGAGAGAUUUAAGGCCAGUGGGGGCGUGCCCGAUUCUGCUUGUUAUAACGCAAUGAUGGAAGGAUUAAGCAAUGCCAAUAAAGCAAUGGAUGCUUAUGCGCUUUUUGAAGAAACACGACGGAGAGGUUGUCGUAUACACAGCAAAACAUGUGUUGUUCUUUUAGAUGCAUUGCAUAAGGCUGAGUGCCUUGAGCAAGCAGCCAUUGUUGGUGCUGUCUUAAGAGAAAUGGCAAGGUCUCAACAUGCUACAAGAUUAUCUUGAGGACAGGUUGUACAUAAUGUAUUGAUGUUGGAAUAAACCCCAGGCUUCUGGCUUAUCUUUCCUCAUAAUCAAUUCUGAAACCUAGAAGUUACUCAUGCAAACUUCUCUCCUAAAUUGGUUUUGGCGUUAGAUAGAAAAUUUUUCAAACAUGCACUGAGUGGUGGUCUUCUUUGUAAAUCCUUGCCUUCCCCUUGUCUGAUCAAGCAACUUGUAAGACAAAGUGAGAGAUUUCCAAUGUCUCCAGAUGUUUGAUAAGGUUCAUGAAUCAUGACUAGCCACAAAGGUCAUUUAUAUGAAGGAUUUAAUUUAUGACAGUGACAAGAGUUUUACAUAGACAUCCAAUCAUAUCUUGCCAUGUUUCUAUUUUGGUGCAAAAGUGUGCUGAAGAUAGAAGUGUGUUGAUCACAACAUAUGUUGGCCAGCAUAGCCAUCCUCUGCCUCCAACUGCACAAGCAAUGGCAUCAACCACAUCUGCAGCAGCCUCGAUACUUCUCUUAGGAUCAAUGCCAAGUGCAGAUCAUGGCCUCAUUAAUCCAACCAUAUUAGAAACUGCUUCACUCUCAGCCUCAGCACCAAUUCCAACUAGCAUUCUUGAUCUCACUCAAACUUAUGCAUAAAGACUUGGUGAUUUGUUGGUGUCACUAUUUUGUUUGGAAAUACGUGUCGUUCUUAUACUUAGGUGUGUCGAUAUUGAUUUUAAUUUAUUCAGUGUCAUACACCUGAAGGAUCUUAUAUUGAUUGAAUUUCUAAAUAUUUUAUAUUUUAUUUGAGCGUA